rnacentral:rRNA from 1 species
UACGUAGGGUGCGAGCGUUGUUCGGAAUUAUUGGGCGUAAAGGGCUCGUAGGCGGUUUGUCGCGUCGGGAGUGAAAACACCAGGCUUAACUUGGUGCUUGCUUUCGAUACGGGCAGACUUGAGGCAUGCAGGGGAGAACGGAAUUCCUGGUGUAGCGGUGAAAUGCGCAGAUAUCAGGAGGAACACCGGUGGCGAAGGCGGUUCUCUGGGCAUGUCCUGACGCUGAGGAGCGAAAGUGUGGGGAGCGAACAGG